rnacentral:rRNA from 1 species
UGGGGAAUAUUGCACAAUGGGCGGAAGCCUGAUGCAGCAACGCCGCGUGAGGGAUGACGGCCUUCGGGUUGUAAACCUCUUUUAGCAAGGAAGAAGCGAAAGUGACGGUACUUGCAGAAAAAGCGCCGGCUAACUACGUGCCAGCAGCCGCGGUAAUACGUAGGGCGCAAGCGUUAUCCGGAAUUAUUGGGCGUAAAGAGCUCGUAGGCGGUUUGUCGCGUCUGCUGUGAAAUCCCGAGGCUCAACCUC